rnacentral:sRNA from 1 species
GCAGGGUUCGGUGGCCCAUGCCUGUAAUUCCAGUGGCUUGGAAGGCUGAGGCAGGAGGAUUAUGAGUUCAAAGCCAGCCUCAGCAAAAGUGAGGCACUAAGGAACUUAGUGAGACCCUGUCUCUA